AAACAAGUGGGUGGUUCGUGUCCGUGUAUUUCUCAGAAGUCAACCGCAUGUCAACACUUAUUUUGGGGAUCUUUCUUUCCGAGGACCCGUUCUAUUGUUAGUUAGCUUGUGCAAUUUUAGGUUCAAAUGUAAAGAAUACGCAGCGUGUACAAGUUCAUGAUGGACAUUCUGGAGAAACCACCAGCAGGACAUGUGCUGGAUGAUACACAACCAUUGUCCUGUAUUAUCGAAGCAGCUCAAACCGUACAAGGACACACUGACUAUGUGAUCAAAGUUCAAAGAGGACCAAUUCCGGAGAAUUGCUGGCGUGUCACACGCCGCUACAGUGACUUCGCUAGCCUUAAUGCUACCCUACAAACAUACAGCAUUGACCUUUCUCUGCCAUCGAAAAAGGUGUUUGGCAACCUGGACCGGGAGUUUGUAGCUGAGCGACAGCAGGGUCUACAGUCAUACUUGGAUGCACUCGCUGGCCAUCUGAUGGUGUCGUCCAACAUUCUUGUGAAGAAGUUCCUAGAUCCAGAAAGCUAUGCAAUAAACUACCAAGAGAGCGCAUUGCAGCAUGUGUCCAUGUUCUUUCGUUCAGAACCAAAGUGGGAGAUGUCAGAAGUUCAGCAGGAUAUAGGCUGGAGAAUCAAAAAACAGUAUUUCAUGGUAAAACAUGUAGAUAGACCAAAACACAGACAACUACUGACCUGGGCAAGUUUAGGACCUGACAACUUUCUCUCUACAAAAGAUCUGGAUUCGAUAAUGCGACUUUUGCCCUCUUUGAAACAUCCAUUUAUUCUCCCGAUCACAUUCGCGAUGGCAAAUGAAAAUGGAGGCCUAGCCAUUAGGACCUACAUUUCUGAGGGAACUCUACGUGACCGUGUAUACAAGACAAGACCCAGGCAACCAUACCUGAAGAAGUAUGGAAAGCCAAAGAGUGUUACUCCGUUGCCACAGAACGAAAUUAAGACCUUUGGGAGACAGAUCUUAGAAGCACUAAAGUUCCUCCAUGACAAAGGUCUACCCUAUGGGCAUUUGCAUGCGGGAAACGUAAUAAUAGAUAAUGGAUCCUGCAAGCUACUGGAUGUGGAGAAUCACUUGCUAGGCCUGCCUGGCUUCUACCGAUCUUACAUCACUCUGCUGAAACGUGCCUCGAGCACUGAAGCCAUUGAUGUGUAUUGUUUUGGGCACGUGCUGUAUGAGAUGGCUGUGGGCACGCCACUCGCUUCAGCUACCUGUGAUAGCCUACCAAGCUGCUGCUCCCCUCAAGUUCGGUCGGUACUGGAGAUGGUGCUGACCUCUGAAGCACUGCGGACCGGUCUUCCCGAUGUUGCUACUCUCAUCGCCCAGCCUUUGUUCAGCGAUGUGCCGGUAUCAUACUUGGAGAAGCCGCAGAUGAAGGUUUCCUCGCGGCUCAGAGAAGCCAUUCAGAAAUCAAAGGAAGCCAUGGAGACACGGUUAAAAGAAGAGAAGAAAGCGAUAACGCAGCAUAAACGGAUUUCCAAGGCACAAGCAAAACACAUGUCAGAAGAAGAAAAGAAAAAACGAAAGAAGAAAGCACUGUCUGCAGCAAGGAUUGCACAGAACUCGAGUUCAGAGCAGGUGAAUGGCGGAGUGAGUGGUGACAGCUCCAGCAGCCGGUCCACGACUCCACAGAUGGCAGGUACACUCAGCCCCACACCGCAGGUUUUGACACCCCCUCUGCCUCCCCCACCGCCUGGAACCCUACCCGCUCCCAUCUCCCAGCCCUCCCAGCCCAGUGCCAUCCCUGUCAGCUCACCAACCCUGCCUUCCAGCGACCGUGGCGCCCUCUUAGGAUCUAUACAAGGCUUUAGUAAAUCUGCACUGAAAAAGGCAGAGACAGAGGACAAGAGUGCUCCGCGGAUGUAGAGGUGUUGGUGCGUCGCGUGUGGCGCAGUACCAGCCAUACGACUCUCUGUGUGGUUAGAUACCUUAAACAGACAGUAAGCGAAGACAGGCGCGUACUACCUACAUGUACGCAUACGUAAUUCAGACUUCGCCUAAGGCAUGUAGAACAUCAGGAGCACUUUGCCAACCCGUACCUGCACCAAGACACAUCGCCGCGCGCACACCGGGAGAGACCAAGAGAAAAAGACAGA
rnacentral:misc_RNA from 1 species